rnacentral:rRNA from 1 species
UGCCAGCAGCCGCGGUAAUACGGAGGGGGUUAGCGUUAUUCGGAAUAACUGGGCGUAAAGCGAGCGUAGGCGGAUUUGUAAGUUGGAGGUGAAAUCCCAGGGCUUAACCCUGGAACUGCCUUCAAAACUACAUUUCUUGAGUUUGGUAGAGGAGAGUGGAAUUCCUAGUGUAGAGGUGAAAUUCGUAGAUAUUAGGAGGAACACCAGUGGCGAAGGCGACUCUCUGGGCCAAUACUGACGCUGAGGUUCGAAAGCGUGGGGAGCGAACGGGAUUAGAUA